UACGUAGGGUGCAAGCGUUAAUCGGAAUUACUGGGCGUAAAGUGUGCGCAGGCGGCACCGCAAGUCGAGUGUGAAAGCCCCGGGCUUAACUUGGGAAUUGCGCUCGAAACUAUGGUGCUGGAGUGUGGCAGAGGAAGGUGGAAUUCCAGGUGAUAGCGGUGGAAAUGCGUAGAGAUCUGGAGGAACACCUAUGGCGAAGGCAGCACUCUGGGACGGUACUGACGCUGAGACGCGAAAGCGUGGGGAGCGAACAGG
rnacentral:rRNA from 1 species